GGCAGAAUGGCUCAAGAGGUAGAGCACUUGCCUAAAAAAUGUGAGGCUUUAAGUUCAAACCCUAAUAUUGCCA
rnacentral:tRNA from 1 species